rnacentral:lncRNA from 10 species
ACAUGCACACCACAGAGCGUGGCGAUGGAACAGUAACCGGGCUUGUGAGAGGGCUCUACGGUAUCAACUAGGAGACAAGAUCCACGGAUUCACCGUAAACCAGCUAGUGAUUAUACUCUGUAUCCAUUUUCCACACAAAAUCCCAAGGACCUUCAGAAUCUCCUCUCGGUGUAUUUGGACGCCACCUUUUUCCCAUGUUUACGCGAGCUGGAUUUCUGGGUGAAACCUGAGGAAGCCCCAGGAACAUUCAGUGAGGGGUUAGGAGGGAGGAGAACACGGUGGAUGAAAAACAAAAAGGAAAUGCACCAGCAUUCACUGGCGGGCUCUGUCACCCACAGGACAAGGAUGAAGACGUGCACACCUGCCGUGCGGGCUUUCAGCCUCACAGGUGCCCCAAGAGCCAUCUCUACCGGGCACUAUGUGGAUGCAUCGGUGACAAAAUGGAAAGCCUCUGGUCCUGGCGGAGCUUGUUCCGAUCAAGAGAGACCCGAAAGCAAGAAACACGAGACUGGGUCUCGCCAUGCUGACCAGGCUGGCCUCAAACUCCUGGGCUCAAGUGAUCCACCUACUUUGGGCUCCCGAAGUGCUGGGAUUACAGGCGCCACCCAUGCAAGCCUCAAUCCUGGGAGAUGCUCCCGUUGGAGAAACCUCCAAGAAGCGGAUCUGCUUGGAUUUGCAAACGGCCCCUCUGGCCCCAGGGGGAUCUGCUGUGCAGAGCUGCUCUGGAUUCGGCUCUUCAAUACUAGGUCUCUCAAAACACCGAGACCCUAUCUCAGCACUGGAGACAGCAGGGCCAGGGUGGGAUUUAUAGAAAAUAAGUCUCUGCCUCUCAGUGCUCUGGUCUGCCAUGUGUCUGGCUGCCUCUUCCAUCCUGACAAGCACG